GAAUAUUGGACAAUGGGCGAAAGCCUGAUCCAGCAACGCCGCGUGUGUGAAGAAGGCCUGCGGGUUGUAAAGCACUUUCAGUAGAGAAGAAAAGCGCAUGGUUAAUACCCGUGUGUCUUGACGUAACCUACAGAAGAAGCACCGGCUAACUCCGUGCCAGCCGCCGCGGUAAUACGGAGGGUGCAAGCGUUAAUCGGAAUUACUGGGCGUAAAGCGCGCGUAGGCGGCUUUGUAAGUCGGAUGUGAAAGCCCUGGGCUUAACCUGGGAAUUGCAUUCGAUACUGCAUGGCUAGAGUAUGGUAGAGGGAAGUGGAAUUUCCGGUGUAGCGGUGAAAUGCGUAGAUAUCGGAAGGAACACCAGUGGCGAAGGCGACUUCCUGGGCCAAUACUGACGCUGAGGUGCGAAAGCGUGGGGAGCAAACAGG
rnacentral:rRNA from 1 species